AUGCGAAGAUCCCAGCAGAGAGGCGAGUUACUCUUAUUAUUGAGGCCGCUCUAACUAUUAAUUUCAAUAACUUCGCACAUUGAAUUGCCGAAUCGUAGGAUACCCAAAUUUAUCUUGUUUUGGUGUAUCUUGAACCCUCGUCUACAUUUCC